GAUGAACGCUGGCGGCGUGCCUAAUACAUGCAAGUCGAGCGAACAGACGAGGAGCUUGCUCCUUCGACGUUAGCGGCGGACGGGUGAGUAACACGUAGGUAACCUACCUAUAAGACUGGGAUAACUUCGGGAAACCGGAGCUAAUACCGGAUAAUAUUUCGAACCGCAUGGUUCGAUAGUGAAAGAUGGCUUUGCUAUCACUUAUAGAUGGACCUGCGCCGUAUUAGCUAGUUGGUAAGGUAACGGCUUACCAAGGCAACGAUACGUAGCCGACCUGAGAGGGGGUUGGGCCACACUGGACCUGAGACCCGUCCAAGACCCUUAGGGGAGGCAGCAGUAGGAAUUCUUCGGCAAUGGGGGAAGCCUUGACGAGCAACGCCGCGUGAGUGAUGAAGGUCUUCGGAUCGUAAAACUCUGUUAUUAGGGAAGAACAAACGUGUAAGUAACUGUGCACGUCUUGACGGUACCUAAUCAGAAAGCCACGGCUAACUACGUG
rnacentral:rRNA from 1 species